rnacentral:rRNA from 1 species
GACGAACGCUGGCGGCGUGCUUAACACAUGCAAGUCGAACGGAAAGGCCUCUUUCGGGGGGUACUCGAGUGGCGAACGGGCGAGUAACACGUGAGUACCCUGCCCUCUACUUUGGGAUAACUUCUGGAAACUGGGGCCAAUACCGGAUAGGAGCUCCUGCCGCAGGGUGGGGGCUGGAAAGUUUCGGCGGUUGGGGGUGAGCUGGCGGCGUAACAGCUUGUUAGUGGGGGGGUGGCUUACCAAGGCCUUGGCGGGAAGCCGGACAGGGUGAGUGACCGGCGGCAUUGGCACCUAGAGGCGGCCCAGGUGCCUAAGAGUGGAAGCAGUGGGGAAUAUUGAACCAUGGAUGGCGGGCUGAUGCAGCAGCGCCGUGUGCGGGAUAACGGCCUUGGGGUUGUAAACCGCUUUCGCUCAUAACGAAGCUUUGUGUGACGGUAGUGAAUAAAGAAGCACCGGCUAACUACGUG